CGCGUAGGUGGUUAAGUAAGCGAUCUGUGAAAGCCCGGGCUUAACCUGGGAACUGCAGGUCGAACUGCUUGGCUAGAGUAUGGUAGAGGGGUGUGGAAUUUCCUGUGUAGCGGUGAAAUGCGUAGAUAUAGGAAGGAACAUCAGUGGCGAAGGCGACACCCUGGACCGAUACUGACACUGAGGCGCGAAAGCGUGGGUAGCGAACA
rnacentral:rRNA from 1 species